CAAAGGCUUGGUCCUGACUUUACUAUCAACUUUAGCCAAACUUACACAUGCAAGUAUCCGCACCCCUGUGAGAAUGCCCUACAGUCCCCCACCCGGGAACAAGGAGCUGGUAUCAGGCACACCCCAUUAAGCCCAUGACACCUUGCUUAGCCACACCCUCAAGGGAACUCAGCAGUGAUAAACAUUAAGCCAUAAGUGAAAACUUGACUUAGUUAAAGCUAAGAGGGCCGGUAAAACUCGUGCCAGCCACCGCGGUUAUACGAGAGGCCCAAGUUGAUAGACACCGGCGUAAAGAGUGGUUAAGUUAAAACCUCGCACUAAAGCCAAACAUCUUCAAGACUGUUAUACGCAACCGAAGACAGGAAGUUCAACCACGAAAGUGGCUUUAUUUGAUCUGAACCCACGAAAGCUACGGAACAAACUAGGAUUAGAUACCC
rnacentral:rRNA from 1 species